UGAGGAAUUUUGCGCAAUGGCCGCAAGGCUGACGCAGCAACGCCGCGUGAGUGAGGAAGGUUUUCGGACCGUAAAGCUCUGUCGAGCGGGAAGAAAUGUAUCGUGGCUAAUAUCCAUGAUAUUUGACGGUACCGCUAAAGGAAGCACCGGCUAACUCCGUGCCAGCAGCCGCGGUAAUACGGGGGGUGCAAGCGUUGUUCGGAAUUAUUGGGCGUAAAGGGUCCGCAGGGGGCCGGCUAAGUCUGAUGUGAAAUACCAAGGCUCAACCUUGGAACUGCAUUGGAAACUGGUUGGCUAGAGUAUCGGAGAGGAGAUUGGAAUUCCUGGUGUAGCGGUGGAAUGCGUAGAUAUCAGGAGGAACACCAAAGGCGAAGGCAGAUCUCUGGACGAUUACUGACCCUCAGGGACGAAAGUAUGGGGAUCAAACA
rnacentral:rRNA from 1 species